rnacentral:tRNA from 7 species
UAGAGAAAUAGGAAUUGAACCU